GUGCUCGCUUCGGCAGCACAUAUACUAAAAUUGGAAUGAUACAGAGAAGAUUAGCAUGGCCCCUGUGCAAGGAUGACAUACAAAUUUGUGAAGGGUUCCAGAAAAAA
rnacentral:snRNA from 1 species